rnacentral:lncRNA from 1 species
UAUUUUUCAAUGUUCAGUUUGAACUCCAAUUUUUCAUUCAUCCGUUUAUCAUUUUUGACCAUUACACAUGUGAUUUCGAUACUCACAAAGGAUAACACAGAUCAACUUUGAUCUUUCAAAUGGAACCAAUGAAUUCCACAUAAAAUUGUGCCAAAAUUAAACUCCAAAGCCAUUUUUCUUACUCCAUGACAGUGUGUUGGGUAUUGAAAUUCCGUUUGACAAAGUCAAUCUUAAUCUUGCUCAUUUAAGAAAAGUCGUGCAAGCCCUUAUUUUCAUAUGUAGUCGAUAUGGAAUUUAUCCGUUACCAGGGUGGAGUUGAUGCAUUUUUCGUGUAUUUUCAAGGUCAACUAGUAUGCCUAUCAAAUUAGGUUGAAUUGCCAUGCUAAGCAUGUUUUGUGGUGAACGUGCCCAUUCACUCCACUAUAUAUAUAUAUAUAUUUUUUUUUUUUAAAUUUAUUUUAUUUUAUUUUAUUUUAUUUUUUUAUUUUUUUAACUAAGAGAUCAAAUCCACUCAAAAUGUAGUAGGCUCAAAAUGCAUUCCAUUACAGCAAAACAGUUGAAUUUGAAUCCAUCCAAACUCAAAUCUCUUUAUACCAUUUUUUCUCACCAACUCCAACGUUUGUGUCUACACAACCAUUUCUUGAAUGCAUGCUCAAUUUCUUGAUAUCUUCGGAUGUGUUCGGUGCAAGUACCUUUUUUCUCUCGCUAAACCUGUCCAAUAUUGUCUAAUCCAGCCUACCAAACAUGCCCUCAAUUUUCGACCUGGAGGGGCGCAGUCCAUGUACUUUCAGAUUCCAUGGGUUCAAUGAUGACGACUCCACCAUCCGAUAACCCUAAGGCAAACUGGUUUGCCUUUUGUGGAUGAGCGGCAACCACCAGUGGAUAUACACGAGUUCUGCAUCCACCAUAACAAAAAUCAAAUUAAGCACCCUUGACAUGAGUGAAUGUCACACACACACAAAGUUGGAUCACUGAUGCUGAAGAACAUGAAUUCUGCCAGAAUUUAUGACAAAUUGGCGAAGUAAAUUACACUUUUUGCUCGUUGUCAAGAAAGGUAAAAAUGCAGUUAAGCUCCAUUUCGUUUUAGAUUUAUAAAAAAUAAAAUUCAGGAAAAUAUGUAUUGGUAUAGAAGGAUUUUGUCCAGACUUUCCAUCCCCUUUAACAGAACUAGAUAGUCCUUUUGUCCGAAAUUGCCAAAACUAAUUAAUUUUCUUGAGACAUUUUUGUCAGCGAGACUUUACUAUGGACACGUGCAGUUUUGCAAACAUUGACUGGAGAAAGAGAUGUGACUAAAAACCAUGAAUAAUGCAACUAAAUCAUUGAUACAGAAUUGAUUUUUUUAUAAAUUGUUGGUUGGGUCAAACGGAUUCAACUAUCAAGUACCUGAUAUGCUGUGGAAGGUAAGCAGAGGGAUCAAUCUCAAAUCUUGGAACGAGAUCUGAAGCACCGAGUAUCAGAACAAUUCCAUCCCUCAUGACAGUGUAUAACAAUUCAGCAUCACAAGAAAAUGCAGCAUGGGCAAUCCGUGCACAGAAGUUUCCAACGACCCACUGAAAUUAUAGCAUACGUAAAUUGUAAAGUCACGUGUAUGACAGCAUCGAAGCACUUCUCUUCUAAACGUGUCAAAGAGAGGAAGAGACCUGCUUAACACACUGUAGUUUUGUUGUUUCGUAUAUUGCAAGUUGAGUCUCAUGUACAGCAAGAAAGUGUCUUUCAUCCUUGUCAAAUUGGACAUGAGUCUCCGAUAGUUCUGAAGGUAACCAACCGGAGGAAAUCUCUAAAAAUGUGUUGUUCUUUUUCUCCCACGUGAUUGAAUCCCAUACAACAAUCUGCAGAAUAAUGGAGGAAAAAUAGAUUAUUUAAAUAUGUUUACGACAACAAUCUUAAAGUUGGCAACCUCGAAAAAGUCGAUCAAUUGUAUCUCUCUACGUCAAGAUUGAUUUUAUUUUCAAACUUGGAAAAUGUAGUAUUCAUAGAACUGUAUGGUAUAAUAAACAAGAUUUUAGUUUCUUUUUUCUUAGUUCAUACAAUCUAGUACUAUACAAUUCUCCCUACCAAGCAAGCCAAUAGCGUCUAAAUAAUAUAUAUUUGACAACCUGAGUUCAUUUAAGCUGGUAAAUAAAUUAUUAUACUUGAAAACAUUUAUUGAUUCACAUUCAAAGGAGGAAUCUGGCUGUCCUUCUGCACGAUCAACCAAUAGAAUAUAUAGAAUACCAACCUGAGCAUCCAAUCCAGAAGAGACAAGUACAUUUAACACGGUUGAGAAAGAAAGGCUGCUAAUUCUCUUAGAAUGGCCCUUAAGCUUAUUUGUCAACUGCAAAAUGAAGGCAAUGGCUAAAUGCUGCACAUUUCUUCUUAAUCUUUCUAACUCUAAUAUAAGUGAAUGUUGGACACAUAUAUCAUACCUCGUCCACACGGACAUUAUAGAUGAGAAUUGUUGAAUCAUCCAUACCAAUAGCGAUUAUGUUGUUAUCAGGCGGAUAGAAAACAAUACAUGUUGCUGCAGGUGGGGAUUGCAUGAAACUUCUCAUUCUCUACAGUAAUCGAGCAAAUUGGAAAUGGUAGGUUAGUUAUUUCUAUAUGUCGAGCAUCCUAAAGUUCAAUGAUAUGAGAGCUCUAAGUUAGGUGCUACCCUGUGAAUUGAACAUAGAACAUUUUGCCAAUCUUUCACAAGCAUCCAAAGCAGCUACAACUUUUAGUAUUACCUUAAAAAUCAACAUGUUGAACAAAGAAACCAUCUUUCCAGAUGCUGAGACAACAUAAGAAUCAUUCUUGGACAAACAAAAGCACGGUGAGACUAAGUCGAUGUUACUUUCGGGAAGGUCAUUGAUCAUCAGCAACCCACUCUUUGGUUGCCACAGUUGAGGGACACACUUUGUAGUUGCCUGUUGCAGCAAAUACUCAGUUACUCUUUAAACAAUGACUGGCUGAUCAAAUCGAAGAUACAUAUAUACAAGCACUUGCAUAGGUGCAGAGAGAGAGAGAGAGAGAGAGAGGCUCAAAAUGCAUUCCAUUACAGCAAAACAGUUGAAUUUGAAUCUAUCCAAACUCAAAUCUCUUUAUACCAUUUUUUCUCACCAACUCCAACGUUUGUGUCUACACAACCAGUUCUUGAAUGCAUGCUCAAUUUCUUGAUAUCUUCAGACGUGUUCGGUGCAAGUACCUUUUUUCUCUCGCUAAACCUGUCCAAUAUUGUCUAAUCCAGCCUACCAAACAUGCCC